CCUGUCUUGUUCCAGAUUUUGUCUUGUUUCCCAAAUUUCAAUGGAAUUUUUCCCCAUUGAGUAUUCUAUUUGCUGUGGGUUUGUCAUAUAUUGCUUUGAUCAUGUUAAGGAAUGUUCCCUCUAUACCCACUUUGAUGAGAGUUUUAUCAUAAAUGGAUGUUGGACUUUGUCAGAUGCUUUUUCUGCAUCUAUUGAGAUGAUCAUAUGAUUUUUGACUUUUCUUUUGUUGAUGUGUUAUAUGACGUUAAUUGAUUUGCAUAUGUUGAACCAUCCUGGUGAACCUGGGAUGAAUCCCACCUGGUCAUGGUAUAUGAUCUUUUUGAUAUGUUGUUGGAUUCAGUUGCCUAAAAUUUUGUUGCGAAUUUUUGCAUCUAUAUUCAUCAAAGAUAUUGGCCUAUAGUUUUCUUUUUUGGUGGUAUCUUUGUCUGGUUUUGGAAUUAGGGUAAUGGUGGCAUCAUAGAAUGUCUUUGGGAGUGUUCCUUCUUCCAGAACCUUUUGAAAAAGUUUAAGGGGCUGGGCACCAGAUCCUCUUUGUACGUUUGGUAGAAUUCGCUUGUGAAGCCAUCUGCUCCUGGACUUUUAUUUGUAGGGAGUGUUUUUAUGAUAUAUUCAAUUUCAUUUCCAGUGAUUGGUCUCUUUCUUCUUGACUCAUUUGUUUUUUUGAUAUUAAGUUGUAUGAGCUAUUUAUACAUGUUGGAUAUGGGCCCCUUGUAAGUCACAUUAUUUUCAAAUAUUUCCUCCUGUUCCAUAGGUUGUCUUUUCAUUUUUUUUGGUUGUUUCCUUUGCUGAGCAAAAGCUUUUAGGUUUAAUUUGGUCUCAUUUGUUUAUUUUUGCUUGUGUUCCUUUGCCUUAGAAAACAGAUCUAAAAACAGUAUUGCUCUGAUUUAUGUAAAAGAGUGUUCUGCCUAUGUUUUCUUCUAAGUAUUGUAUGGUUUUAGGUCUUUGCUUGGAUCUUUAAUACAUUUUGAGCUUACUUUUGUGUAUGCGAUGAGAAAAUGUUCUGAUGUCACUGUUUUACAUGUAACUGUCCAGUUUUCCCACCACCACUUUUUGAAGAGAUUGUCUUUCCUGCAUUGUACAUUUUUACCUCUUUUGUUGUAGAAUAAUUGACCAUAGGUGCUUAUGUUUUUUCUGGGCUCUCUAUUCUAUGCAAUUGAUCUAUGUGUGUUUUUGUGCCAGUACCAUCCUCUUUGAUUACUGUGGCUUUGUAGUAUAAUCUGAAGUCUGAUAAGCUGUCAUCUCCAGCUUUGUUCUUUUUUUCCUCAAGGUUGCUUUGGCAAUUUGAGGUCUUUGGUGGUUCCACAUGAAUUUUGGGAUUGUUCCAGUUCUAUGAAAAAUGUCAUGAGUAUUUUGAUAGGGAUCGGAUUUAUCUGUAGAUUNAUUGCUUUGGAUAGUAUGGACAUUUAAACAAUAUUAAUUCUUCCAAUGCAAGAGCACAGAAUAUCUUUCCAUUUCUUUGUAUCAUUUUCAGUUUCCUUCAUCAAUAUUCUAUAGUCUUCAAAGUAUAGGUCUUUCACUUCUUAAAUUCAUUCCUAGGUAUUUUAUUCUCUCUCUUUCUCUUUUUUGCCAUGCCAAUGGCAUGUGGAAGUUCCUGGGCCAGGAUCAAACCCAUGCCGCAGCUCUGACCCGAGCCACAGCAAUGACAAUGUGGGAUCCUUAACCCACUGUGCCAUAAGAAAAAUCAUAUUUCAUUCUUUUUGAUGUGAUUUUAAACAAAAUGUUUAAAAUUUUCUCUUUCUGAUAGUUCAUUCUUAGUGUAUAGAAAAGCAACAAAUUCCUGUACAUUAGUAUUGUGUCCUACAACUUUGCUGAAUUAAUUUAUUAGUUCUAGUUGUUUUUUUGGUGGUGACUUUAGGGUUUUCUGUAUAAAAUAUCAUGUCAUCUGCAAACGGUGAUGUUAAGCCUCUUACCUUCCAGUUUGGAUGCCUUUUCUCUUCUCUUCUUGUCUGAUUGCUGUGGCCAGACUUCUAACACUACAUUAAAUAAAAGCGGUGAGAGAAAGUCUCCUUGUCUUGUUUCUAAUUUUAGCUUUUUAUCAUUUGGUGUGAUGCUGGCUGUGGGUUUGUCAUAAAUGUCCUGUAUUUAUUAUGUUAAGAUAGGUUCCCUCUAUACCAGUUUUGAUGAACAUUUUCAUCGCGAAUGGGUGUUGAAGUUUGUCAAGUAGUUUUUCUCUGUCUAUUGAAAUGAUCGUGUGAUUUUUAUCCUUACUUUUGUUGAUGUAAUGUAUCACAUUGUUUGGUUUGUGAAUCAUCCUUGCUCCUUGGAAUAAAUCCCACUUGAUCAUGUGCAUGAU
ensembl:lncRNA